UGCAGGGAUAUAAUUUUCUGUGUUUGGUAUAAAAUUUUGGAAAGAAAAAACGGUGAAUGAAAAAGACUUGAAGGAUAAAUUAAAGUUGAUGAGUUGAUUUUGUAAUCCUUAGAAAGGAAAGAAAAUACUGUCAUUUUGAAUGAAACUUUCUUAAUACUAAAUUUACAUUUAUUUUUAUAAAAGAUAAAAUUUAUAAAAAAAAAAAACAAAAACAAAUAAGUGGUUUAGACGUGCUCUCAAGUCAAUAAAAUAAAAUAAAAUAAAAUAAGAAAUGUCGGAUACGUGUUCAAGACUUGAACACGUGUGUCCAACACUAGUAUGCUGCACCACCUAACCGUGUGUGGUGCUUCAUAGAUUCUUAGGGAUGGACCACUCUCCAUCCUUCAAAUUGAUUAUGAACCUAUAUAAAAAUUAAUACUCUAUUAUUUGAGUUUUUAUUUUUAUUGUUUUUAUGAUCUUUAAAAUUUUUAACUAUACAAUUAAGAAAACAAUAACUGUAUUACUAUUAACUAUUUAUUUACCUUUAUGUGUUUUUUUUUUUUAAUUUAUUUUUAUUUUAUCAAAGAAUAAACCACUUGAUUUCUAUUCAAAUUUCAAAGUAAUUAUUGGAGACCCAUAAGCCUAUCAGAAUGCACUCAAAAUCAUAUAAACGUAAAAGACAUCUCUCUCUGAACGUCAGUAGUGCAUGGAGUCAUCUCUGCCAGAGUUUCACCGGAAAAGAAACCCCAUAAGGAAAUAAUGGAAGAAGAAAAUUCAUGUGCCCGGCCCCAACCAUAUGGGAUAAAGGCAAGGAUUAUGAUGACGAUGAUGACAAAGUGGUGCAAAAGUGGCGUCAUGAUAUAGGAAUGGGUUCUAGUGAUGCUGUGGUUUCUAGUCACAAAUAUUGUUGGGAGAAUUGGCUUUCGCAAUGAUGUGUAGAUUUGGUCCCAAAAGAUGUACUAUUGUGAUGAAUCUGCUUCACUCAAAUAUUUUUGUCGUAAAACUGUAUUAUCUCUAAACCAUUUUAAAUCUGUAGCAUUAAGGUCACAGAAAAUAUCAGCUACUGCAACUUGCCAAAUUGUGGUUUGA